UACAGAGGGUGCAAGCGUUAAUCGGAAUUACUGGGCGUAAAGCGUGCGUAGGUGGUGAGUUAAGUCUGUCGUGAAAGCCCCGGGCUCAACCUGGGAAUGGCGAUGGAUACUGGCUCGCUAGAGUGCGGUAGAGGAGAGUGGAAUUCCCGGUGUAGCAGUGAAAUGCGUAGAGAUCGGGAGGAACAUCAGUUGCGAAGGCGGCUCUCUGGACCAGCACUGACACUGAGGCACGAAAGCCAGGGGAGCGAACGGG
rnacentral:rRNA from 1 species